AACACACUCAAGGACAAUUCUCAAAUCCAAGUACUGCUUCAAGUUCACCUAAUUACUACAGCAUCAGAGCGACACGCGUUCCAGAAUAAGAGGCUGUCCGUGGAUUUGCUUCAGCGCUCCAUGGCUUGGCAGACUUCCUCUUUGCCAGGGCCGUUGUAUACGUAGCUAAGUCUGAGUAAAAAGACAGUUCCACGAUUCAGAUGUGCAGCGCAUCUGGUUUGUUUCUGUGAAUUGGUGAAGUGAAGGUUAAGAUGAAUUUUCUGCUUUUUCCUGUUUACUCAGCCCAAUUUAUUAAAACGACUCCUGCCUGUCCACAUUCUGCAGCACCACAGUUCUCAUCAGCCAGGUAUUGUUAUUACCUUGAAGGACACAAGGUGAAUAAAAUAUCAAUUCUGCUCUGCUCUUGCUCAAAGACUGGAAAAUUCUGAUUCAAAAUAUCUAGACAAGAGGAUUUGCUUGGCAACUUAUAGUAGCAGCAAGAGCAAAGACCCACUGAUACACAUGAACUCAUCAUUUAUAAAAUGAAUUACACACAGACGUAAAGAAAGGGGGUCUUCCCCUAAACCAGGAGACUGUCUGGGCAGGCAUUUGCUGCAAUUGAAGUCUGACAAUGGGGCGAGACAUCAGACGCCGGGAAAGCCUGUGGCACCUCCUGCAGGGGCUGAGGGGCCCCAGCCUUGCUGUUCCAGGAAUCCACUCCAGGAAAAAGCUAAAAGCCUCUGCACCACUGCCGAGUUCAUUAAAUGGCUUCUGCCAUAUUAA